rnacentral:rRNA from 1 species
AGUGAACGCUGGCGGUAGGCCUAACACAUGCAAGUCGAACGGCAGCACAGAGGAGCUUGCUCCUUGGGUGGCGAGUGGCGGACGGGUGAGGAAUACAUCGGAAUCUAGUCUGUCGUGGGGGAUAACGUAGGGAAACUUACGCUAAUACCGCAUACGACCUACGGGUGAAAGCAGGGGAUCUUCGGACCUUGCGGGAUUGAAUGAGCCGAUGUCGGAUUAGCUAGUUGGCGGGGUAAAGGCGCACCAAGGCGACGAGCCGUAGCUGGUCUGAGAGGAUGAUCAGCCACACUGGAACUGAGACACGGUCCAGACUCCUACGGGAGGCAGCAGUGGGGAAUAUUGGACAAUGGGCGCAAGCCUGAUCCAGCCAUACCGCGUGGGUGAAGAAGGCCUUCGGGUUGUAAAGCCCUUUUGUUGGGAAAGAAAUCCAUCUGGUUAAUACCCGGGUGGGAUGACGGUACCCAGAGAAUAAGCACCGGCUAACUUCGUGCCAGCCGCCGCGGUAA